GCAGCCCGUCUGAAGUCCGAGCUCUCCUGUACACUUUAAAAAGGAAAAACGAAAAAAAAGCUCCAAGGCAAUCUUUCAGUCCUGUUUCCAGCAUGCCACUGCCAAGCAGAACCAUUGUACUUCUUGCUGCAUUCCCUGUGGUAUGGGCAGAUGGAUCUGAAAGUUAUCAGUGAGAAGUGAAAGUAACGCAGGCUGCACAGCCAUCUCUUGCUUUGACUCCUGUACAAAAUCCUCAGUCUCCAUUAUAAUAGUCCUUCCCUAGCUGACUACUUAGAGUCUGUCCUGGCACAACAAAGGAAGACCUGGCAGUUUCCUUUUGGG